GACGAACGCUGGCGGCGUGCUUAACACAUGCAAGUCGAACGGGGCGCAUCGCUUCGGUGGUGGGUCUAGUGGCGAACGGGUGAGUAACACGUGGGCAACCUGCCCCCGGCCCUGGGAUAACUACAAGAAACUGGGGAUAAUACCGGAUGUGACCGCUGGUCGCAUGGCCUGGCGGUGGAAAGGGUUUCCGGCUGGGGAUGGGCCCGCGUCCUAUCAGCUUGUUGGUGGGGUGGUGGCCUACCAAGGCGACGACGGGUAGCCGGCCUGAGAGGGUGACCGGCCACACUGGGACUGAGACACUGCCCAGACUCCUACGGGAGGCAGCAGUGGGGAAUAUUGCGCAAUGGGCGGAAGCCUGACGCAGCGACGCCGCGUGUGGGAUGACGGCCUUCGGGUUGUAAACCUCUUUCAGCAGGGACGAAGCCGCUAGGUGACGGUACCUGCAGAAGAAGCACCGGCCAACUACGUGCCAGCAGCCGCCGUAA
rnacentral:rRNA from 1 species